UACGAAGGGGGCUAGCGUUGUUCGGAAUCACUGGGCGUAAAGCGCACGUAGGCGGAUUGUUAAGUCGGGGGUGAAAUCCUGAGGCUCAACCUCAGAACUGCCUUCGAUACUGGCAAUCUCGAGUCCGGAAGAGGUUGGUGGAACAGCUAGUGUAGAGGUGAAAUUCGUAGAUAUUAGCUAGAACACCAGUGGCGAAGGCGGCCAACUGGUCCGGUACUGACGCUGAGGUGGCGAAAGCGUGGGGAGCAAACAGG
rnacentral:rRNA from 1 species